rnacentral:rRNA from 1 species
UGGCCGUAAACGAUGUGGACUUGGUGGUUGGAAUGGCUCCGAGCUGCUCCAGUGCCGAAGGGAGCUGUUAAGUCCACCGCCUGGGAAGUACGGUCGCAAGACUGAACUUAAGGAUUGGCGGGGAGCCACCACAACGCGUGGAGCCUGCGGUUUAAUUGGAUUCAACGCCGGACAUCUCACCAGGGGCACAGCAGAAUGAUGGCCAGGUUGAUGACCUUGCUUGACAAGCUGAGAGGAGGUGCAUGGCGUGUGACU